GGGGGUCACGAGGCUGCUGAAGCUUUUUAAUCAAAUAUUUUGGCUAUCACAAGAAUUUUAAUCACCCAGUUAGGAAAAUUUGGGGGUUUUUUUCUGGCUGGAGCCGGUGGGGCUGGAGCAGGGCUGGAGAGCUCCAGGCCCAUCCAGCAGCAGAGGGUGCUCACGCACUGCUGUGCAAAUCCUGCUUCUCCCUCAGCCAUUUUAGGGAAAUAUUCCCUUUCCCUGCAGUCUCCAUUUUAUGUUCCUGACGCAGAAAAUAAAAAGAUGCACUCAGGCUGCCCUCUGGGAUGGAUGAUGAUUCUGGCCUUGCUGAUUCAUCCAGCCCUGGCUGAGGAUCUUUCUGGAAGCAUCUUCCAUGCCCAGUGUCUGCUGAGAACUUGAGGAAAAUCUUACACAGGACGAGAGGAUGGAUCACAGUGGAAUAUUCUGAACUUCCCAGCCAACACAGAUAAGAUAAGAGUGAAAAAUCUGUGGGGGGAAAAAUUGACAAUAUCCUUUUGCUUUUGGGGAGAAGAAGGUUUCAAAGAGGAUGUGAGCUGUGGCAAAAGGAGGCCGAUUCCCCUUGCCCACCCUUCCCACAGGAGGUGCAAAUGUCACCCCAGCACUGAGCAGAUUAGGCUGGGCUCACCUUUGAGCUCCUCUGGGCAGCUGUGCCAGGGCCUCACCGCCCCCCCAGGCAAGAAUUUCUUCCCAAAAUCCACUUCCAGCUGCCUUGCCACGACCAGGGACAUCUUUAACCAGAGCAGAUUUCUCAGAGCCCCAUUGCUCAGCCCUCCCGUGCUCCUCACUCCCCCUCCCAAAGAGAACUGAACCCCUUUUGUGUGGUUUCCCCCUCCCUCCCACCCAGCAGCUGCUCCUGCUGCCCUGCAGGGGCAGGAAACACCAUCUGCCCCUCAAAGCUGGGAAGGGAGGAGGCACAGGAGGAGAAGCAGCAGCGAGAGGAGCAGGGAACAGCUGGAGGGCAAGGCUGGGGUUCAGCAGAGUGUUUGGAGCUGUGGGAUGGAUGCAAAGAGAGCUGCAGAUGAGGACAGAGCUGGAUCCCCGAGGAUGGGGCAGCACAAAGUGCGUUUUACUGAGAGGAGAAACCCUGAGAGCAGCAAUUUCAGGUUUGCCCGCAGAGCUCCACCUUUAUCUGAGGAUGAAAACCUCGCAGCAGCGAUGUGCAAAGCCUGCUGAGCUCCAGAGAACCUUCUCAAACCCCAGAGGCUUUUUUGGCCUUUUUUGCAUCCCACGCCAAAGCCCGUGCACCCCUUCAGGGCUGCACUCCUCCAUCCCUCCUGGAUUUCCUGGGAAGCUCGGUGGGUGUCAGCACCAGAACUCUUUUCUCUCUUCCCAGACCAUGAUGCUGAAUCCUCUAUUCCAACCACACACGUUUCACAUUUAUUUCAAAUGUGGUUUAAAAGGGAGGAGGGGGAGAGGCCAUAAAUAUUCUCUCCCAGUGCUGUUUCCUGAGCCUGGGGAUACCCAAAGGAAUGGGAUGGGCUCUGUGGAACAGACCUGUGCAGCCCCAAAUGGGUGAGUAAAUCCUCCCCCCUGGCAGGCAAAGUUUUGGGGAGCAGAGAGGACCUGGACUCGCUCCUGGCACUGCCCAUAUUUUCAUAUUUUCAUAUUUUCAUAUUUCAUAUAUUUCCACUUUCCUCCGUGUGUGCCCAGGGACGGGGAUUAGAACAAACCCUGUCGUUUUGUAAUGGAUCAGCCAUUUCCUUCACCUUUUUGCACCUCCAUCCGUGAGAUUGGGAUGUCACCGGGUGUAAGUUUGGGAACCUCCCGAGCCUGCAGGCACAGGCCUGCAGCAGUGACCCCUCUCAGCAGUUGUGGCUGCUCUGAAUUCCACUUUCAGCUUGGUUACCGUGACUCUGCCUGUCCCCUGCUGUCCCCACGGCGUGGGGCUGCUCCCUGCUACCAGAUGCUUUCCUUGCUUCCCACAUCUGGCCUCAAUUACUGCCCCUCUCCCUCGGUUUCCUGCCUCUCUGGGUUUCCUGAAACUCAUCCCCUCCUCCUGGCAGCCUCAGCUCCUGCAGUGAGAUGCUUUGUGAGCUCUCACAUUCCUCCCUCCCUCCUUUUGCUGUCUCUGUCGGGGGGAUCCUGCCUCAGACCCCCCCCGAGUGCUGCCACUGAGCCCCCCAAGGGUCUGGGUGGCCACAGCCACACUGCCCAGCCCAGUGGUCAGCAGGGCUUUAUCCCAACCCCUCUGGACAGAGCUCCCCGCCCUCCCCCAGCAUCCAUCCCGCACCACCCCGCACUUUUCAGCCAAAUCCUUCACUCCCAAGGCUGAGGUUUCUUUAGAUUGCCAUCCCCUCCUGAGGCUGGGGGCUUUCCAAGCCUCUGCCCUUUGAAAGGAGCAUAAAACCUCUCCGGGUUUCCCCUGGGUGCUGCCUGGCCUCUUUCCUGAGCAUUUUUCCCGGCAGAAAAGCCAUGUGCCCGUGCACAAAAGCUUUGGAGGAGGGGAGAGGGCUCUGCCUGUGGCUCUUCAGCCUUUUCCUGCUGCUGGGGGGAGCCCCCGGCCCUGCAGCAUCGGGAUGCUGCAAAUCCUCAGGGUCUGAGCUUGUUCAGGGCACGGGGGGAGGUGGGAACAGUUAAAUCCCACAAAGGAUCCAGUUAAUGAUUCCCAUCCCCUUGCUGGCACGUUCCAGCUUUUGGAAGGGGGUCUGGCCAGCAGCUGUGCCAGCGAUUGUAGCUCCAAAAGCGCAUUUUCCUUCUGUGUCAGCUUUCAUUUGUGGCCCCUCUGGAUUCCCCUGGUGCCUGCAGAUGCCAGAGUUUCCUGCUGCUACAAUUCCCCGUGACUCUUCCUUCCCCUCCGUGGAGCUGUGGGAUGAGGAGAGGGGUGAGGAAGGCACUGCUGGCUCUGUGUUUCCUGUCCCAUCCUUCCCUAAGCCUAGGAGAGGCUUUUUCCCAGGAUAAAAGUGACUGGGCAGCGUUUGGGAAAGGCAGGAAAAGCUGAGAAGCUGCACCUCUGGAAGCAGGGGAGCACUUUGGGAUGUUUGGGGGUAACAACAUCUACAGCUCAGCAGUUCCACAGCCACAUCCAACUGCAGCAGCCCCUCUGUAUAACAAGGUUCAUAU